rnacentral:rRNA from 1 species
CCUACGGGUGGCAGCAGGGAGGAAUAUUGGUCAAUGGGCGGAAGCCUGAACCAGCCAAGUAGCGUGCAGGAUGACGGCACUACGGGUUGUAAACUGCUUUUAUACGGGAAUAACGCGCCUUACGUGUAGGGCUUUGCAUGUACCGUAUGAAUAAGGACCGGCUAAUUCCGUGCCAGCAGCCGAGGUAAUACGGAAGGUCCGGGCGUUAUCCGGAUUUAGUGGGUUUAAAGGGAGCGUAGGCCGCAUGUCAAGCGUGCUGUGAAAGGUCCGGGCUCAACCCGGGCCUUGCAGCGCGAACUGGCGGGCUUGAGUCCGCGGGAGGCAGGCGGAAUUCGUCGUGUAGCGGUGAAAUGCUUAGAUAUGACGAAGAACCCCGAUUGCGAAGGCAGCUUGCUGCAGCGGAACUGACGCUGAUGCUCGAAAGCGCGGGUAUCGAACAGGAUUAGAUACCCCAGUAGUC